AAAAACUCCGGUGGUAUACGAUGGUUCCGCGUCUGAUUAGCUAGUUGGCGGGGUAACGGCCCACCAAGGCAGCGAUCAGUAGCCGGCCUGAGAGGGUGAACGGCCACAUUGGGACUGAGACACGGCCCAAACUCCUACGGGAGGCAGCAGUGAGGAAUAUUGGUCAAUGGACGCAAGUCUGAACCAGCCAUGCCGCGUGCAGGAAGACGGCUCUAUGAGUUGUAAACUGCUUUUGUACGAGGGUAAACGCAGAUACGUGUAUCUGUCUGAAAGUAUCGUACGAAUAAGGAUCGGCUAACUCCGUGCCAGCAGCCGCGGUAAUACGGAGGAUUCAAGCGUUAUCCGGAUUUAUUGGGUUUAAAGGGUGCGUAGGCGGUCGGAUAAGUUAGAGGUGAAAUCCCGGGGCUCAACUUCGGAAUUGCCUCUGAUACUGUUCGGCUAGAGAGUAGUUGCGGUAGGCGGAAUGUAUGGUGUAGCGGUGAAAUGCUUAGAGAUCAUACAGAACACCGAUUGCGAAGGCAGCUUACCAAGCUACUUCUGACGUUGAGGCACGAAAGCGUGGGGAGCAAACAGGAUUAGAUACCCUGGUAGUCCACGCAGUAAACGAUGAUAACUCGUUGUCGGCGAUACAUUGUUGGUGACUAAGCGAAAGCGAUAAGUUAUCCACCUGGGGAGUACGUUCGCAAGAAUGAAACUCAAAGGAAUUGACGGGGGC
rnacentral:rRNA from 1 species